GACGAACGCUGGCGGCGUGCCUAAUACAUGCGAGUCGAACGCUGAAGGAGGAGCUUGCUUCUCUGGAUGAGUUGCGAACGGGUGAGUAACGCGUAGGUAACCUGCCUGGUAGCGGGGGAUAACUAUUGGAAACGAUAGCUAAUACCGCAUAAUAGUAGAUGUUGCAUGACAUUUGCUUAAAAGGUGCAAUUGCAUCACUACCAGAUGGACCUGCGUUGUAUUAGCUAGUUGGUGGGGUAACGGCUCACCAAGGCGACGAUACAUAGCCGACCUGAGAGGGUGAUCGGCCACACUGGGACUGAGACACGGCCCAGACUCCUACGGGAGGCAGCAGUAGGGAAUCUUCGGCAAUGGACGGAAGUCUGACCGAGCAACGCCGCGUGAGUGAAGAAGGUUUUCGGAUCGUAAAGCUCUGUUGUAAGAGAAGAACGAGUGUGAGAGUGGAAAGUUCACACUGUGACGGUAUCUUACCAGAAAGGGACGGCUAACUACGUG
rnacentral:rRNA from 1 species